CCUACGUGAUGCAGCAGUGGGGAAUAUUGGGCAAUGGGCGCAAGCCUGACCCAGCAACGCCGCGUGAAGGAAGCAGGCUUUCGGGUGGUAAACUUCUUUUAAGAGGGAAGAGCAGAAGACGGUACCUCUUGACUAAGCCACGGCUAACUACGGUACAGCAGCCGCGGUAAUACGUAGGUGGCAAGCGUUGUCCUGAUUUACUGGGUGUAACGGGAGCGUAGGCGGCGAUGCAAGUCAGAAGUGAAAGCCCGGGGCUCAACUACGGGACUGCUUUUGAAACUGUGUUGCUAGAUUGCAGGAGAGGUAAGUGGAAUUCCUAGUGUAGCGGUGAAAUGCGUAGAUAUUAGGAGGAACACCAGUGGCGAAGGCGGCUUACUGGACUGUAAAUGACGCUGAGGCUCGAAAGCGUGGGGAGCAAACAGGAUUAGAUACCCUUGUAGUC
rnacentral:rRNA from 1 species